UUUAAAGUGCUUUUUGAAAGAAAAAAACCGACGACAUAUGGUCUUUAUAGUUUUAAGUAUAUGCAGGUAAAACUGAGAAAUUCUGCAUUGUUCACUACAAACCCUCCUCACUGCAAUUAGUUUCUUCAAUGUGUUGUUCACUCUCCCGACACAACCCUUCCAUGUGAAACCCAUAACCCGUAUCUCACGGUCUCCCUGUGAACCCUUCUCUGUGCGACCAUCACCAUCGCAGGUGUCGCUGUGUCAGGUUCUGUUUCAACAUGACUUCACCAUCGCAUGUCAAUCAUUCUCAUCAUAAAUGGAUUCCGAUGAUGAUUGCGUUCGUCAAAAUGAGGAAAAUGUCUAAGCAAGAUGAAGUUAAGUGUGAGACUAUUAUGCAUAUGGUCAUCAAAGCAAGAUGUAGUUGAAUUAAAUUUGAGGUAGGAUUGAAUCGAAGUGGUCAAUCAAUUGAGCCCAAAAAUUCCAUGAUGGUGUAGUUGUUCAUUAGAAUAUCCCUAUUACAAUUGAUGAUUGGAGAUAUAAAGCUUUUAAUGAUGCUAAAGAUGUCAUGUGGAAUGAUAUAAAAUCGGGUUUUAACGUUGAUGAUGUGUGAAAAAAUUAUGAACUUAGAGUUGCCGGAAAAUUACAUAGAGGAUUUAGAUCUCACUUGGCAAAGUACUACUUAAGAGAUGCUGAUGGAAAUUUGAAUGUCGAAGCUUCGAAAAUAUAUAAACACUACAUAUCAACUGAAGAGUGGAGCACUUUCGUAGCUAAACGUGCAGACCCUAUUUUUGUGAGUAUAAGUACUGCAAAUCACGAGAGAGCGUUAAAUCCAUGCAUUAAAUCCCUUGCAUCCAUUAAGUCCCUGCAUUAAAUCGUCAUAUUUUGUGGAAGGAGACUUGUUUGAAUAAGGAUGGACUAGUUGAUAAUGAAAACAUUCAACAAGUGAUAGAACAAUGUGAGAAUCUAGAACAAUGUUCAUCUCAAGAGGAGAUUCUACAACUUAGUUGCAGGGACAUACUUGGUAAAGUUUUUAAUGUUCCUGAGCAUUCUAGCCAUGUGAGGGGCAAAUGAUUUGGCAUAACUCCAAAAAGUUUUUUAUCACAUGAUAAGCAUACAAAUCCAUCUAAUGAGCAAGUACUAGAUGCGCUGGAAAAUCUAACAGAACAAGUUGCAUAUUUGAUGAAAAAUGAUAAGGAAAAUAAUCUUUGUAGUGUCAACAUUCCUCGUAAAAGUCUUCCAGAAGUAAUUAAUUACUUAAUUAAUUAAGAAAUUCAUUCUAUCUAAUUGUUUCACAUACUAAGUACGUGAAUUAAUUUAUGUAUUAACCAUUGAUUUAGGGUGUCUCAUCUUGUGUGCUUUAUUUAUCUUCCCCUACUUAUUGCAUGGUUGGAAAAGGAACAUUAUACAAUACUUUGUAAGAAAUAUUACACUAUAAUCCGAUCAAUGUUGGCUACGUUAAAGUUUCACCUAUGAUUGCUUUAGAAUGACUUGCACAUUUGCCUAUACCUAACAAUGAUGACACUAGUGCAAUUCCAUCAUGUUAUGUAUCUAGUACAUUUCCUUUUAACUGCAAAUAAUUUAGAGGAAUGCUAGUUUCAUUUUCUUCUGAAAUGCCAUCUUGUUGACAAUAAUAAUUUAGAGGAACGAUGAUUUUUCCAAAAUAAUUUAGUUUUACAUUUGUUUGGAUUCCUACAAAUUCUAAAGGGAAUGAUAAGAAGAUUCAGCUUUACAAUGAGUCAGUCACUUCACCAAAAAAGGUUUGAUAUAUACAUCAACUGUAUAUGAAAUGAUUAACUUACUAUAAUAACUAACAAACUGAUCAAUCUCAUUUUUUUUUUCAGAUUCAAGAAAAAGCUAUAGAAAAGGUUAAGAAAGUUGAGUCAAAAAAUAAAUUUGUCACCCCGCAAAUUCGUGGUAAAAUAUUUAUUCAAUCACUAAUUUAUUUAGUUUCACAUUUUCUAGAUUCCUACAAAUUCUAAAAAAUUGAACUAGAUUUUUUCAGAUUCAAGCGAAAGCUAUAGAAAAGGUUAAGAAAGUUAAGCAUAAAAAUAAAUCUAACUAGUUCAUGGAAAAUCAACUGCUUCUCCUAAAAUUAGUCAUCCAAUCCUUUCUCGAUUUGGUACGUUAAUAAUGUUUCAACUUGAUCCAAUUAGAGCAAAAAAAUAUGUUGUUGAUCUACUUGUGGAAAAUAAAGAAAAUGAUAAGUUGUUUCUUCCGCCAUAUAAUUCAGGUAAUCACAUAUUCUUUAUCUAUAUCUUGUUUAAUUUAUGAUACUUUAUCAGUUGUAAAUAAAUUUGUCAACCAAAUUUUUGU